UACGUAGGGGGCAAGCGUUGUCCGGAUUUAUUGGGCGUAAAGAGCGUGUAGGCGGUUUGGUAGGUCCGCUGUGAAAACUCGAGGCUCAACCUCGAGACGCCGGUGGAAACCAUUAGGCUAGAGUCCGGAAGAGGAGAGUGGAAUUCCUGGUGUAGCGGUGGAAUGCGCAGAUAUCAGGAGGAACACCAAUAGCGAAGGCAGCUCGCUGGGACGGUACUGACGCUAAGGCGCGAAAGCGUGGGGAGCGAACAGG
rnacentral:rRNA from 1 species